rfam:Larimichthys crocea isolate SSNF unplaced genomic scaffold scaffold1088, whole genome shotgun sequence.
CAUCAUGGUCCUUUUGCUUUGAUCUUUUGCGAAUGUAGAACCAGGGUCAGGCCUGGUUAGUACUUGAAUGGGAGACCGCCUGGGAAUACCAGGUGCUGUAAACU